rnacentral:sRNA from 1 species
UGUUGGUCGAAAAGGAUCGUCCGCAGAAC